rnacentral:tRNA from 2 species
UGCCCCGUGGCCCAGCUGGUUAAGGCGUGUGACUGUUACUUACAGCUUCGAGUCUGCAAUCACAAGAUCGUGAGUUCGAGCCUCACCGGGGCAG